CAGCGCCGCGGUAAAACGUAGGUGGCAAGCGUUGUCCGGAAUUAUUGGGCGUAAAGGGCUCGCAGGCGGUUUCUUAAGUCUGAUGUGAAAGCCCCCGGCUCAACCGGGGAGGGUCAUUGGAAACUGGGAAACUUGAGUGCAGAAGAGGAGAGUGGAAUUCCACGUGUAGCGGUGAAAUGCGUAGAGAUGUGGAGGAACACCAGUGGCGGAGGCGACUCUCUGGUCUGUAACUGACGCUGAGGAGCGAAAGCGUGGGGAGCGAACAGGAUUAGAUACCCGCGUAGUCCCUGUCUCUUAUACA
rnacentral:rRNA from 1 species